rnacentral:rRNA from 1 species
GACGUAUUCUGAAAGGGAUACUUCUUCGGACAAUAUACAAGGUGCUGCAUGGUUGUCGUCAGCUCGUGCCGUGAGGUGUCGGGUUAAGUCCCAUAACGAGCGCAACCCCUAUCAUUAGUUGCCAUCAGGUCAAGCUGGGGACUCUAAUGAAACUGCCUACGCAAGUAGUGAGGAAGGUGGGGAUGACGUCAAAUCAGCACGGCCCUUACGUCCAGGGCUACACACGUGCUACAAUGGCCGGUACAGAGCGCAGCGAAGCCGCGAGGCAAAGCGAAUCGCAAAAAGCCGGUCUCAGUACGGAUUGGAGUCUGAAACCCGACUCCAUGAAGUUAGAAUCGCUAGUAAUCGCGCAUCAGCAUGGCGCGGUGAAUACGUUCCCGGGCCUU